rnacentral:rRNA from 1 species
AUGGGCCUUGAGGCCAUGGUUUCCGGCGUGGGCUGGCACAGAGUCCAGAGUCGAGACGCUUUGGCUUCGGCUCCGGCUCCGGCUCCGGCUCCGGCCGGCGGCUCUACGACCCGUACCAGGACCUCAACAUUCCCACCGCCUACAAGAACCUCUACCACCUCCCCCGAGUUCCUCUUCCAGGAGGAGGCCCUCCUCCAGUGCCGCUCCUGGGGAGAGAACCUCACCUACUACACCGGGGUCGGCUACCUCUCCGGCGCAGUCGCGGGAGCCGCCGUCGGCCUACGCGAGGCCGCACACGCCGCCGAGCGCGGCGACACCGCCAAGAUCCGCGCCAACCGCCUCCUCAACUCGUGCGGCUCCGCCGGACGCCGCGUCGGCAACAGGCUGGGCGUCAUCGGCCUCCUCUACGCCGGCAUGGUCACCGCCAGGGACGGCCAGGACGACUGGAUCAACAGCCUAGUCGCCGGCCUCGGCACCGGCGCCCUCUUCAGGGCCGCCCAGGGCCCCAGGUCUGCCGCCGUCGGAGGGGUCCUCGCCAUGGCCGCCAAGCAGGCAGCCAAGAGAUACGCGCCCGCCUUCUGA